UACAGAGGGUGCGAGCGUUGUCCGGAAUCACUGGGCGUAAAGGGCGCGUAGGUGGCCUGAUAAGUAGGGGGUGAAAUCUCGAGGCUCAACUUCGAGGCUGCCUCCUAAACUGUCAGGCUUGAGCAGAGUAGAGGCAGGUGGAAUUCCCGGUGUAGCGGUGGAAUGCGUAGAGAUCGGGAAGAACAUCAGUGGCGAAGGCGGCCUGCUGGGCUAUUGCUGACACUGAUGCGCGACAGCGUGGGGAGCAAACAGG
rnacentral:rRNA from 1 species